ACGAUGAUGUUAAUAACAGCAGUUAACCACUAGUUACUAACGGUAACGAUGAUGUUAAUAACAGCAAUUAACCACUAGUUACUAACGGUAACGAUGAUGUUAAUAACAGCAGUUAACCACUAGUUACUAACGGUAACGAUGAUGUUAAUAACAGCAGUUAACCACUAGUUACUAACGGUAACGAUGAUGUUAAUAACAGCAGUUAACCACUAAUUACUAACGGUAACGAUGAUGUUAAUAACAGCAGUUAACCAC